rnacentral:rRNA from 1 species
CAGCAGCCGCGGGAAUACGUAGGUGGCGAGCGUUGUCCGGAUUUAUUGGGCGUAAAGGGAGUGUAGGCGGUCUUUUAAGUCUGAUGUGAAAGCCCACGGCUCAACCGUGGAGGGUCAUUGGAAACUGGGAGACUUGAGUGCAGAAGAGGAGAGCGGAAUUCCAUGUGUAGCGGUGAAAUGCGUAGAUAUAUGGAGGAACACCAGUGGCGAAGGCGGCUCUCUGGUCUGUAACUGACGCUGAGGCUCGAAAGCGUGGGGAGCAAACAGGAUUAGAUACCCCUGUAGUCCCUGUCUCUUAUAC